CAGCCGCCACGGUAAUACAGAGGGUGCAAGCGUUAAUCGGAAUUACUGGGCGUAAAGCGCGCGUAGGUGGUUUGUUAAGUUGGAUGUAAAAGCCCCGGGCUCAACCUGGGAACUGCAUCCAAAACUGGCAAGCUAGAGUACGGUAGAGGGUGGUGGAAUUUCCUGUGUAGCGGUGAAAUGCGUAGAUAUAGGAAGGAACACCAGUGGCGAAGGCGACCACCUGGACUGAUACUGACACUGAGGUGCGAAAGCGUGGGGAGCAAACAGGAUUAGAGACCCGAGUAGUCCCUGUCUCUUAUAC
rnacentral:rRNA from 1 species